rnacentral:misc_RNA from 1 species
GCUGAGGCCGGCGGAUGUUCAUGCUUUUCUGCAGCAUUUGGUGACAUUUGGGGUUGUGGCGAAGGAGGAUAAGGAGUUGUAUCGGAAGCUGGUGCUGAGUAUUGCUUGGAGGAGGCAGAUGCCGAAGCUUGCGGUGGCUUUGGGGCUUGAAGAUACAAUGAUGGGCAUGAUUGAGGAGCUGAUUAGUAAGGGACAACAACUUGAUGCUAUAAAUUUUGCAUAUGAGGCUGGCCUUGAGGAAAAAU